rnacentral:misc_RNA from 1 species
AGCUUUAAGGAAAGCUCUUUGUUUUUUGAAAUGAUGCUUUUAUGAGAUAGAGCUUUUUUAGAUAAUGCUUUUUUAGAUAAUGCUGGGGAAGGUUUUCCGGUUUAUCUCGGAGGGCUUGUAGCUCAGUUGGUUAGAGCGCGCGCUUGAUAAGCGUGAGGUCGGAGGUUCAAGUCCUCCCAGGCCCACCAAUUUACCUAUCCAUUUGCCUUUAUCCGUUUAUUUGCCGAUUUAUCGGUCCAUUGAAUUUAAGUGUUGGUAGCAGUUUUUAUAAUGAUGAGAAAUCAUGCUUAUAAAAAAACUCCUUAUAAAAGGCUUGUUUUUAAAAUGUGACGCUUAUCCAUUUCGCUUAGGCAAGAGAAACUUCAAGCGGUUCAAAUGCAAAAGGCUUUAAAUUUUGCAAAACAAUUUGAAUUUUAAAGUGAUCCAAGUUCGUGAUCUCGAAUUUGAAAGUUUCGAAUGCUUUAUCCUUUUUUGGGGGCCGUAGCUCAGCUGGGAGAGCACCUGCUUUGCAAGCAGG